AAACUUGAAGGUUUAAAUCACCA
rnacentral:siRNA from 1 species